AGGAUUCAGUGAGUAUGAGGGCAGAGCCAGCAGAGAGAGGGUGAAGAGCGGAUAGAGGAACGAGAGCGGAGAGAGGGAGGAGAGCAGACAGAGAAGGAACAAGGCAGUCGGCUGAUUCACCACCACUCCAUCCAUCUCUUCUUUCUCUUUCUCCUCUUCUGCUUCAGUGACGGGGUAGUGGAGGUGUGUGUGGGAAAGGAAACCCUCCCUCCACACACAAACAGACCACUGCUCCUCAUCCCUUCCACCUGCCUCCAUCCCUCUCCCUUCUCCCAUUGUCAUUACUACCUCCACCUCUGUCUCAUUCCUUCUCACUCCAUCCCAUCAUCCAUCUAUCUCUCUAUUGCUCUUUCUUUCUUUCCAGCCCCCACGCCCUUCUAACCCACACGCUCUGUGUCACCACCGUGGUGAAGAAAAUGAUCAGCCAACAAGCUGGAAAAGGUAGAGGAGAGGACAGAGAGAGGAGAAAGAGAGGAAGAGUGAACUCUGUCCAUUCAAAACACUCCAGACUUUCCCGUUUCCCUGAUGGAUUAUCGCCGGCUCCACGGACAGAAGGAGGAGUGGAGGAGAAAAGAAAAAGACCAAUAGAGGAAGAGAGAAGACAAGAAUUGAGCUCUGGACAGCCAGUUCGCCUAAAGGUCUUGUCUGCAGGCUGUGCUUGGGACUGGCUAAUUGUGGAAUAUUCUCAGGACUCCAGCGGAGGAGAGAGAGAGAGAUGCUCUCUCUUUCUUUUCAUUCUAAUCAAUUCCCCUCUAUGCAAACACUCAAAGAGCCUUUCUCUUUGAGGGCGAUAAUUUCAUAUUCUGUUCAUAUCAUUAUUUUCCAUUUGUUUUUUUCACACCAUUUGUUCCAUUUGUUUUUUUCACAGUACCUGUAGGCUGCCACUCAAAAAGAAAAAGAAAAUAAAAAACACGCAAAAACUCUCUGACAUCCCUAGGGGGUUUGGGAGUGGGUGUACAACACAAGACAAUGCCGGUGUGAACUGGACGUGCUUGGACAGAAAAAUGAGAGAAUGAACGUGAGAGUGAGAGAUAAAACAUAAUAGUGUGGAGUCUACUAGAAAUAAGUAUUUCCCAGAGUGGUGUGAGGGAAGUAAGCAAGGAAAAUACUAUUUUCACCUCAGGUCUAACCAGUGCUGUGGAUAGACAGAGUAAGACAUCGGCCCCUGCUCAUCGGUCCCUGCUCAUACAACACCGAGACUGAGAAGAAUUCACAAGACUGAGGAGAGAACGGACGGACAAACACACAGACAAGUCAGCCCUCCGACCCCAACCGCAUUCUGGUCCAUCUCUGUUAGGGUACAGCGCCCUACAUACACUUACUCUCACACACACUCACUCAUACACACACUCAUACACACACUCAUACACAGACACAAAAGAACCUUGGCUUCGUCUGGGACCCUUUUCUUUUCAGAAUUAUUUAUUUUCUAGCACCCAUUUUUUCCCUCUCUCUGCCCCCUUCUCUCCCUGUUUCUCUCCCAUCUCUCCUCCAUCUCUCCAUAUAGACUCUGAGAACACCAUAUCUCCACUACACAGACCUCUACACUUCCUGAUUCUUACAUUGAUUGGUCUUUCAGUUCCUCCCUUCUACAUAUCUCUACUUCUCUUUCUCUCCCUUCCCUCUUUUUCUCACCAUUCUUCUUUCUCUCUUUUUCUCUCUCUCUCUUUACCUCUCUCACACUCCUUUGCUUUCCUGCCCCCCUCGUCACACCUCACUCCCUCUCUCUUCUCCUACCGCUCCCUCACUUGCCCGGUCUCAUUGUCUUCACAAACAGCAGUGUUAGUGUGUGUGUGUACGGGGGAACCAAUCCAUUCUGCAGUGGAGCCACGGAGCACAGGGGAGCCUGAGGUAUUACAUGUGUCGCAAUCAAACCAUGCCCCAGUUCACCUUUGCCUGUUUCUGUGGUCUGCACGGCUUCUGCCGGAGACGGACGAAGAAUAAAAAUAAGAAAAGGGAGGAACAAGUGGAGAUGGAGGAGAAACAGAGGGAUCAGGAGACGGAGGUGUGAAGGAAGUCUGGAGGGACUUCACCCUCCUCUUCAUCUUCUCAGAGACUCUGUUUUGGUCAUAGUUGAAAAGCCGUUGAAACCCCUUCCUGUGUACUCAGUCCUUGGGAAUGAAGGCAGGAUAUUUUCACCAAACACACUCAGUACCACUGAUUUUGACUCGAUUUAACUUAAAACUAUGAUCUGUAAUUUCUUAUAAUUUUUUUUACUCCAUGUAGGCCAGUACACUUACAAAGUCCUGCCAAACUGAAUUACAGAUUGUGCCUUUUAGAUGGGGAGAUGGAACAGUAUGUAAUGAUGGCAUUCUUCUUUCUACGUCCAGAUCCUUUUCCAUUAUUCACACUGUGGUCCGUCUCUCCUCCACCUGAAGCAGCUGUUCAAUCAGCAGCUUCACUGGACAGUGUAGGUAGAGGUCAAAGGUUAAAACAAAUGUUAUUUACAAUCUCCUCCACCAAGGGGAUGGGCACACACACAUGUAAAUUAAAGAUACGCAUGGGUCUGUAAAUGUGACUCACUGCCUCGAUUACAGUAGGUAUUAUUAAGUAACAAAAUGAUAUAUCUUUUUUUUUUACAUUAGAUAAAAGUAGAGACUCAGAGGUAGAACAUUGUAUAUCAUACACUGCAGUUGAGGAACAAUGGGAAAGUAAUUAUAUUUGAAAGUUGAUAAACUUGUAACUCCACAAUGAACCAUAAUUCGCAACCCAUACAGUAAUAGCAAUACAAACGGAUUGUCAUAGCUAGCCACCAUGCAUGAAUCUGCAGGCAGCUAGCUAGCUAACAUUGGCCUAUAACUAG